rnacentral:sRNA from 1 species
UUCAUGUGCUAGUCAUGGUCCAAUGAGUUUGGGAGAAUUGGAGUUGGAGCCAAAUUCUAAGCUGGUUCUUCCCACAACACUUCUGACAGCACAAGAAAAUGAUGUUAAUUUACCAGUAGCCGCUGAAGAUUUUUCCCAGUACCAACUAAAGCAAAAUCAGGAUGUUAAGCAAGUUGAACACAAACCAUCACAAAGUUACCUACGUGUUAGAAAUAAAUCUGAUAUUGCACCUUCACAGCAACAAG